rnacentral:rRNA from 1 species
GCAAAUCCGCUUUGAUAAUGCUGGGAUGUGAUGGGGAGCGAAAUUUAGUAGCGAAGUAGCUGAUUUCACACUGUCAAGAAAAGUCUCUAUCGAGGUUAAAGGUCCCCGUACCGCAAACCGACACAGGUGGGUGAGGAGAGUAUCCUAAGGCCAGCGAGAGAACUGUUGUUAAGGAACUCGGCAAAAUGACCCCGUAACUUA